CGGGAAGUAGCGUAAUUGGCUAUCGCGCCUGCUUUGGGAGCAGGAGGUUGUGGGUUCAAGUCCCACCUUCCCGA
rnacentral:tRNA from 1 species